CACGAAGCAAUCGGAAGUGGUUCCAAGAAAAGCCUCUAAGCUUCAGUCAUACGAGACCGUACCGCAAACCGACACAGGUGGGCGAGAUGAGUAUUCUAAGGCGCUUGAGAGAACUCGGGAGAAGGAACUCGGCAAAUUGGUACCGUAACUUCGGGAAAAGGUACGCCCCGGUAGCUUGAUUGGUUUACUCCAUGAGGGUGAAAGGGUUGCAAUAAACUGGUGGCUGCGACUGUUUAAUAAAAACACAGCACUCUGCAAACACGAAAGUGGACGUAUAGGGUGUGACGCCUGCCCGGUGCUGGAAGAUUAAAUGAUGGGGUGCAAGCUCUUGAUUGAAGUCCCAGUAAACGGCGGCCGUAACUAUAACGGUCCUAAGGUAGCGAAAUUCCUUGUCGGGUAAGUUCCGACCUGCACGAAUGGCGUAACGAUGGCCACACUGUCUCCUCCCGAGACUCAGCGAAGUUGAAAUGUUUGUGAUGAUGCAAUCUACCCGCGGCUAGACGGAAAGACCCCAUGAACCUUUACUGUAGCUUUGCAUUGGACUUUGAACCAAUCUGUGUAGGAUAGGUGGGAGGCUUUGAAGCGGGGACGCUAGUUCUCGUGGAGCCAACCUUGAAAUACCACCCUGGUUUGUUUGAGGUUCUAACCUUGGUCCGUUAUCCGGAUCGGGGACAGUGCAUGGUAGGCAGUUUGACUGGGGCGGUCUCCUCCUAAAGUGUAACGGAGGAGUUCGAAGGUACGCUAGAUACGGUCGGACAUCGUGUUGAUAGUGCAAUGGCAUAAGCGUGCUUAACUGCGAGACUGACAAGUCGAGCAGGUACGAAAGUAGGACAUAGUGAUCCGGUGGUUCUGUAUGGAAGGGCCAUCGCUCAACGGAUAAAAGGUACUCUGGGGAUAACAGGCUGAUUCCUCCCAAGAGUUCAUAUCGACGGGGGAGUUUGGCACCUCGAUGUCGGCUCAUCACAUCCUGGGGCUGUAGCCGGUCCCAAGGGUAUGGCUGUUCGCCAUUUAAAGUGGUACGUGAGCUGGGUUUAAAACGUCGUGAGACAGUUUGGUCCCUAUCUGCCGUGGGCGUUGGAAAUUUGAAGGGGGCUGCUCCUAGUACGAGAGGACCGGAGUGGACGAACCUCUGGUGUACCGGUUGUCACGCCAGUGGCAUUGCCGGGUAGCUAAGUUCGGAAGAGAUAACCGCUGAAAGCAUCUAAGCGGGAAACUUGCCUUGAGAUGAGAUUUCCCAGAGCCUUGAGCUCUUUGAAGGGUCGUUCGAGACCAGGACGUUGAUAGGCUGGGUGUGGAAGUGCAGUAAUGCAUUAAGCUAACCAGUACUAAUUGCCCGUACGGCUUGUCCCU
rnacentral:rRNA from 6 species